rnacentral:rRNA from 1 species
GUAGGUGGCAAGCGUUGUCCGGAAUUAUUGGGCGUAAAGCGCGCGCAGGCGGUUCUUUAAGUCUGAUGUGAAAGCCCACGGCUCAACCGUGGAGGGUCAUUGGAAACUGGAGAACUUGAGUACAGAAGAGGAAAGCGGAAUUCCACGUGUAGCGGUGAAAUGCGUAGAGAUGUGGAGGAACACCAGUGGCGAAGGCGGCUUUCUGGUCUGUAACUGACGCUGAGGCGCGAAAGCGUGGGGGAGCAAACAGGAUUAGAUACCCUGGUAGUCCACGCCGUAAACGAUGAGUGCUAAGUGUUAGGGGGGUUUUCCGCCCCCUUAGUGCUGCAGCUAACGCAUUAAGCACUCCGCCCUGGGGAGUAACGGCCGCAAGGCUG